rnacentral:rRNA from 1 species
UACGUAGGGUGCGAGCGUUGUCCGGAAUUAUUGGGCGUAAAGGGCUCGUAGGCGGUUUGUCGCGUCGGGAGUGAAAUCCACUGGCUUAACUGGUGGCUUGCUUUCGAUACGGGCAGACUGGAGGUAUGCAGGGGAGAACGGAAUUCCUGGUGUAGCGGUGAAAUGCGCAGAUAUCAGGAGGAACACCGGUGGCGAAUGCGGUUCUCUGGGCAGUUACUGACGCUGAGGAGCGAAAGCGUGGGGAGCGAACAGG